GGUUAAGCGACUAAGCGUACACGGUGGAUGCCCUGGCAGUCAGAGGCGAUGAAGGGCGUGCUAAUCUGCGAUAAGCGCCGGUAAGGUGAUAUGAACCGUUAUAACCGGCGAUACCCGAAUGGGGAAACCCAGUGUGACUCGUCACACUAUCAUUAACUGAAUCCAUAGGUUAAUGAGGCGAACCGGGGGAACUGAAACAUCUAAGUACCCCGAGGAAAAGAAAUCAACCGAGAUUCCCCCAGUAGCGGCGAGCGAACGGGGAGGAGCCCAGAGCCUGAAUCAGCAUGUGUGUUAGUGGAAGCGUCUGGAAAGGCGCGCGAUACAGGGUGACAGCCCCGUACACAAAAGCGCAUGUGCUGUGAGCUCGAUGAGUAGGGCGGGACACGUGGUAUCCUGUCUGAAUAUGGGGGGACCAUCCUCCAAGGCUAAAUACUCCUGACUGACCGAUAGUGAACCAGUACCGUGAGGGAAAGGCGAAAAGAACCCCGGCGAGGGGAGUGAAAAAGAACCUGAAACCGUGUACGUACAAGCAGUGGGAGCACAGGUUUACCUGUGUGACUGCGUACCUUUUGUAUAAUGGGUCAGCGACUUAUAUUCUGUAGCAAGGUUAACCGAAUAGGGGAGCCGGAGGGAAACCGAGUCUUAAUUGGGCGUUAAGUUGCAGGGUAUAGACCCGAAACCCGGUGAUCUAGCCAUGGGCAGGUUGAAGGUUGGGUAACACUAACUGGAGGACCGAACCGACUAAUGUUGAAAAAUUAGCGGAUGACCUGUGGCUGGGGGUGAAAGGCCAAUCAAACCGGGAGAUAGCUGGUUCUCCCCGAAAGCUAUUUAGGUAGCGCCUCGUGAAUUCAUCUCCGGGGGUAGAGCACUGUUUCGGCUAGGGGGCCAUCCCGGCUUACCAACCCGAUGCAAACUGCGAAUACCGGAGAAUGUUAUCACGGGAGACACACGGCGGGUGCUAACGUCCGUCGUGAAGAGGGAAACAACCCAGACCGCCAGCUAAGGUCCCAAAGUCAUGGUUAAGUGGGAAACGAUGUGGGAAGGCCCAGACAGCCAGGAUGUUGGCUUAGAAGCAGCCAUCAUUUAAAGAAAGCGUAAUAGCUCACUGGUCGAGUCGGCCUGCGCGGAAGAUGUAACGGGGCUAAACCAUGCACCGAAGCUGCGGCAGCGANNNNNNNNNNNNNNNNNNNNNNNNNNNNNNNNNNNNNNNNNNNNNNNNNNNNNNNNNNNNNNNNNNNNNNNNNNNNNNNNNNNNNNNNNNNNNNNNNNNNGACGAGGCACUACGGUGCUGAAGCAACAAAUGCCCUGCUUCCAGGAAAAGCCUCUAAGCAUCAGGUAACAUCAAAUCGUACCCCAAACCGACACAGGUGGUCAGGUAGAGAAUACCAAGGCGCUUGAGAGAACUCGGGUGAAGGAACUAGGCAAAAUGGUGCCGUAACUUCGGGAGAAGGCACGCUGACACGUAGGUGAAGUGAUUUACUCACGGAGCUGAAGUCAGUCGAAGAUACCAGCUGGCUGCAACUGUUUAUUAAAAACACAGCACUGUGCAAACACGAAAGUGGACGUAUACGGUGUGACGCCUGCCCGGUGCCGGAAGGUUAAUUGAUGGGGUCAGCGCAAGCGAAGCUCCUGAUCGAAGCCCCGGUAAACGGCGGCCGUAACUAUAACGGUCCUAAGGUAGCGAAAUUCCUUGUCGGGUAAGUUCCGACCUGCACGAAUGGCGUAAUGAUGGCCAGGCUGUCUCCACCCGAGACUCAGUGAAAUUGAACUCGCUGUGAAGAUGCAGUGUACCCGCGGCAAGACGGAAAGACCCCGUGAACCUUUACUAUAGCUUGACACUGAACAUUGAGCCUUGAUGUGUAGGAUAGGUGGGAGGCUUUGAAGUGUGGACGCCAGUCUGCAUGGAGCCGACCUUGAAAUACCACCCUUUAAUGUUUGAUGUUCUAACGUGGACCCGUAAUCCGGGUUGCGGACAGUGUCUGGUGGGUAGUUUGACUGGGGCGGUCUCCUCCUAAAGAGUAACGGAGGAGCACGAAGGUUGGCUAAUCCUGGUCGGACAUCAGGAGGUUAGUGCAAUGGCAUAAGCCAGCUUGACUGCGAGCGUGACGGCGCGAGCAGGUGCGAAAGCAGGUCAUAGUGAUCCGGUGGUUCUGAAUGGAAGGGCCAUCGCUCAACGGAUAAAAGGUACUCCGGGGAUAACAGGCUGAUACCGCCCAAGAGUUCAUAUCGACGGCGGUGUUUGGCACCUCGAUGUCGGCUCAUCACAUCCUGGGGCUGAAGUAGGUCCCAAGGGUAUGGCUGUUCGCCAUUUAAAGUGGUACGCGAGCUGGGUUUAGAACGUCGUGAGACAGUUCGGUCCCUAUCUGCCGUGGGCGCUGGAGAACUGAGGGGGGCUGCUCCUAGUACGAGAGGACCGGAGUGGACGCAUCACUGGUGUUCGGGUUGUCAUGCCAAUGGCACUGCCCGGUAGCUAAAUGCGGAAGAGAUAAGUGCUGAAAGCAUCUAAGCACGAAACUUGCCCCGAGAUGAGUUCUCCCUGAGACUUUAAGUCUCCUGAAGGAACGUUGAAGACGACGACGUUGAUAGGCCGGGUGUGUAAGCGCAGCGAUGCGUUGAGCUAACCGGUACUAAUGAACCGUGAGGCUUAACCUU
rnacentral:rRNA from 1 species